GGACCCGCACAAGUGGUGGAGCAUGUGGUUUAAUUCGAAGAUACGCGAAGAACCUUACCUAGCCUUGACAUUGAUAGAACACACCAGAGAUGGAGUGGUGCCCUUCGGGGAACUUGAAAACAGGUGCUGCACGGCUGUCGUCAGCUCGUGUCGUGAGAUGUUGGGUUAAGUCCCGCAACGAGCGCAACCCUCGUCUUUAGUUGCCAGCAGUUCGGCUGGGCACUCUAAAGAGACUGCCUUCGCAAGAAGGAGGAAGGUGAGGACGACGUCAAGUCAUCAUGGCCCUUAUGGCUAGGGCUACACACGUGCUACAAUGGGGCGUACAGAGAGUUGCGAUACCGCGAGGUGGAGCCAAUCUCACAAAGCGUCUCUCAGUUCGGAUUGAAGUCUGCAACUCGACUUCAUGAAGCUGGAAUCACUAGUAAUCGUAGAUCAGCAAUGCUACGGUGAAUACGUUCCCGGGUCUU
rnacentral:rRNA from 1 species